rnacentral:rRNA from 1 species
ACGGGAGGCAGCAGUGGGGAAUAUUGGACAAUGGGCGAAAGCCUGAUCCAGCCAUGCCGCGUGUGUGAAGAAGGCCUUCGGGUUGUAAAGCACUUUCAGCGAGGAAGAACGCCUCGGGAUUAAUACUCCCGAGGAAAGACAUCACUCGCAGAAGAAGCACCGGCUAACUCCGUGCCAGCAGCCGCGGUAAUACGGAGGGUGCAAGCGUUAAUCGGAAUUACUGGGCGUAAAGCGCGCGUAGGUGGCUAAGUCAGC